UCCCAGACUCCUACGGGAGGCAGCAGUGGGGGAUAUUGCACAAUGGGGGGAACCCUGAUGCAGCGACGCCGCGUGGGUGAAGAAGCGCCUCGGCGCGUAAAGCCCUGUCAGCAGGGAAGAAAAUGACGGUACCUGAAGAAGAAGCCCCGGCUAACUACGUGCCAGCAGCCGCGGUAAUACGUAGGGGGCAAGCGUUAUCCGGAUUUACUGGGUGUAAAGGGAGCGUAGACGGCAGUGCAAGUCCGGAGUGAAAGCCCGGGGCUCAACCCUGGGACUGCUCUGGAAGCUGUAAAGCUGGAGUGCGGGAGGGGCAGGCGGAAUUCCUGGUGUAGCGGUGAAGUGCGUAGAUAUCAGGAGGAACACCGGCGGCGAAGGCGGCCUGCUGGACCGUAACUGACGUUGAGGCUCGAAAGCGUGGGGAGCAAACAGGAUUAGAUACCCCCGUAG
rnacentral:rRNA from 1 species